rnacentral:tRNA from 1 species
GGAGGUAUAGCUCAAUGGUAGAGUGCGUGCUUAGCACGCACAGGGUCUUGGAUUCAAACCCCAGUACCUCCA